GGCAGGGGAUUGGAGCUGGAUGAGCUUUGAGGUCCCUUCCAAACCAAACCAGGCUGGAUUCUGUAAUUCUAUGAAUUGCUAAUCCAUGAGCUGUUCUGUUCUCGGGUAUGCUGCAUCUUGACACUUGCUUUUUAAAUACGCAUUCUAGACUUCUUCAGUGUUUGUUGACUCUGGUCUGGGGGUAGCACGUUAAAAACACGUCACCUUCCUCUCUGUGAGGGAGAGGAAAGCUCUGGUGCCUUGAUGCACCACGGCCGUGCUGCUACCACCACCCAGCCGAUGGCAGCAAGAGCUGUGUGGGGAGCAGGAGGGUUUUCCAUCGCCUCCAAAGCCCUCACUGCAGCUCCUUGGCUGGGAAGGGCAGAGGAGGGCCAGGGCCCGGCGCCUGCACUGCGGGGCCGGGCCGGGGGAUGGCAAUGUUGGUCUGGUUUUCCAGCAAGAGCAAACGGUGACAUUUCAGAGUGGUUUUGUCCCUUGAGCGGGCAUCGUCUGAGCGAUCGAGCUGAGAGAAAAGGUUGGGACUGGUCCGUGGCAGGACCAGAAGAGGAUGGGGAGGGGAAAUGCUGGAGCUGGGGAAGGAGUUUCUGCAUCAUUUGGGAAAACGCAGCGGAGCUGGAAAUACUGUGACAGGAGGAAAUGCUGCUGGUUGCCCAGCUAGAUUUUUUCCACCGUGAGUCUGUUACCUUGAAUAUAUGAAGUAUGCUCAUUUUCCAGUGCCUGGGUAGUUCUUAAAGUAUCAGUUUAAGUACUGGAACAUUCAUGAUUAAAAUUUCUGGAGUGCUUGAGAAGUAGUUCACUUCUGUAACUAUUACUUUAAAAGAUGGUAAAGAAUGUCUAUUGUAGAAGGCACAUCCUGUGUUAGAGUGGGCUCAUCACCGUGGAAAAAGUGGAAAGGGAAACCAAUGGGAAAGAGAAGUUGUUAUAAUGCAGGAUAUAUCUAUCCUCUAUAGUGUAGAGUCUCCUACGUGGAAGAAACUUUGUUCUUUUGGUUUUAAGCUUCUUUAUUCCAAAAGGAUGACACCUAUUCUGUACGGACACAAACCAGCUCAAAAAGCUGCUCCAAGGACUUGGUUUUUUUAUCUUUUAAAAACAGGAUUACUGUUUUGUUAAUCUGAUUAUGAAUCUGAACUGUGUGGGCCUGUCACUUGGGCUCUCUCUGGCUGGUCUGGGUGCUAAUCUCACUGGAGUGGCUGGGAUGGGAGCACGGAGACAGAGCACACACGAUGUGCAUCCUCUUCAGAUGACCCUUCAGAAUAUUUCCUCAAGCAAUCCCACAUGGCAGAGAAACCAUGUGUAUAAAAAUGCUUUUAUACUUGCAUACAGUGUUAUAUGAGCAAAAUACCGUGCCUUUUAAUAUACAGUAGAAUUAAAGUGCCAACUAUUUACUAAGAGCUGUGUUAAUGGGGGAAGGCACUUAAAUGUGAUUAUGCAGUAUGACCUUUCUCUGCCAACCAGAUUAAGAACAUACUCUAGGCAGGUAAUGCCAAGGUUAUAACUCAGCUGGAAGAACUAAACCAUCCUCUUCCCUUAAUCUGCCUUUUCCUCCCCCCCCUGCUUUUUUUCCUAUAGUGGAAACAGCAGCUGCUUUAUGCAAGAACAGAGGAGGAGGCAGGAGCAGUAAAGGGACAUUUGCCCACCUAACACUUUGGAACCUUGAUGUCUCAGACUUAGAGCUGGUGUGAUCUCAUCCAGCAGCAGCCGCAUGAACUCUGAACGUGCCUCCUCUCCAGGUUGAAUCCUGACUCCUAGAAAGCACCUUUUCCUUCUCCUGCCAUUCCUUGAGUGCUCUCUGCUCACCUCCUGCCUGGGGCGAGGCCCUGGUCUAUAAAGGAGGUGUAGGGAGGUGAGAAGGUGCCAAAGGAGAACCGCGGGCAGAGGAGCUCUAACACGGGAGCGUGCAGCUCCGCUUCAUCGUUUCCAUGUGUGCUAAGUCGUGCAAAGCUUUCAGUUCUGAUGACUAACUUCUUUUCUUCAUGGGAAGAAGCCAACUGACAGCUCCUCAGCCUCAACCCUUCUCUCUUUUAUUGCCUUUUAACCACACUAGCUCUGCCUUUUCCUGCAAUUCAUAGGCCACUGGCUUUCCCUUGAAUCAGGAGAUUUUUAGUGCUGAUUUGGAGCGCACUGAGAGUAAUCCUGUUCCUGCUCACGAAGUUGCCACAUCUCCCUCUCUUGGAAAGGAGUGGCCUCACUUCUAGUUUUAGCUUCAACAUCUGUCCAUGUCCUGUAUUUCAGGACCUGAUGAUCGAGCUUGGAGGGGAGAAGCAGAGUUUGAGGUUCCUUUUGAAGAAGCUUUUUAUAGUGGAAUAAAAGAUCCAUGAGUUCAGAGUGGCAGAGGCUGAGGAUAACUCCAGACUUGGCAGAAAGGGAUCAGGGCACCAGUAGUUAGAAAUAAUAGUGAAGCUUUGCAAAUCCUGGGAAGUAGAAAGGAAUUCCGGUAGUGGUUUGGGGGGGAUUUCCCCAUAUGGAAGGGAUGGAAAGGAUAGUACAGCAGAAAAGGGUUUCUUGGUGUAAAGAGCAGUUUGGGAUUAUUUUACUAGGGACGAAUUGAAGUGGAUCAUGGGUGACACUCGCUGUUCUCAGAGGAAGGUCCCAGAAAGGCAAAGCUCUGGCUUUGUCAGAGCAAACGUGGGCAAUGAAAGGAGACCUCCUGCUCUUCUUUCCUGUUAAUUGCUUGUAUUUCUUCUCUAGUUUCUAUUACACCUUGUUUUUGUUUAAUGCCAUAAGUUGUGGUGGCACUUCCCUUGUGUUAUUCAUUGCUCCUGACAUCACCCUUGUUCAUCGGUGCUGACCUCUGUAUGAGGAUUGCACCAUCACAAGAGCAAUAAAACACCCCAAAAAAGCA